GCAGUCGAGCGGACCUUUUAAAGCUUGCUUUUGAAAGGUCAGCGGCGGACGGGUGAGUAACACGUGGGCAACCUGCCUGUAAGACUGGGAUAACUUCGGGAAACCGGAGCUAAUACCGGAUAAUAUAAGGAACCUCCUGGUUCUUUAUUGAAAGAUGGUUUCGGCUAUCACUUACAGAUGGGCCCGCGGCGCAUUAGCUAGUUGGUGAGGUAAUGGCUCACCAAGGCGACGAUGCGUAGCCGACCUGAGAGGGUGAUCGGCCACACUGGGACUGAGACACGGCCCAGACUCCUACGGGAGGCAGCAGUAGGGAAUCUUCCACAAUGGACGAAAGUCUGAUGGAGCAACGCCGCGUGAGCGAUGAAGGCCUUCGGGUCGUAAAGCUCUGUUGUUAGGGAAGAACAAGUGCGAGAGUAACUGCUCGCACCUUGACGGUACCUAACCAGAAAGCCACGGCUAACUACGUGCCAGCAGCCGCGGUAAUACGUAGGUGGCAAGCGUUGUCCGGAAUUAUUGGGCGUAAAGCGCGCGCAGGUGGUCCUUUAAGUCUGAUGUGAAAGCCCACGGC
rnacentral:rRNA from 1 species